AGUUGGGAAGCUCAUUAAUUAGCGGGCCGGGGGUAGGAGGAGCCGGCUGGAAUUAGCCUGCCUAAUGCGCCUGUCAGUCCCGGCGCCGCGCAGCGCUCGGCCCGAGCUGUUUGUAAAUUACAUUAGCAGCCCCUUUAUUGCACCCGAACCUCGGGCAACGGAAAAGCCACCGCCCCCACCCCAAACUGCGAGCCGCGCUCCUGGCGCACCCGCCUCCCGCCGGCCUGGCUGCAAAAACAGCACCUGCCCGGAGGUCUCGAUCUCUCCGACCCGGGAUAUGGAGCCCGAAAGGGUGGCGGGAACCCCAGCCUGGGAGGUACACGGCAGCCGCGCGGGCCAGAUCCCCUUAUCCAGGCCACCUUUGGAAACCAGCCCAACUGCCCCGCCAACCUUUUCCCAGCCCAGUGGUCCCACCCCUGCCUCCACUGCUGGAAAACCCCAUAGGGGUGGGGCUGGAAUCUUCUGAACUCCUGGGAGCCCAAACUUCCUUGCCUCUUGUAUCCAUCUUGCAGAGCAAUGAACCGAUGGGGUGCCGGGCGUUAGAACCCUUCCCUCCAAUCCUCACCAUGUCUCCAUUUUGCCAAAGAAGAAACUGAGGUUAAGGUCGCGAUGCCCUGGCCAGCACCAAAGGUGGGAUUUGAACACAGAUCGCGUUUGGAGCGGCUCUAGUGUUUAAGCCACAUAGUAUGACAUUGGACGGGUGAAUUGAGCCCUCGCAGGGCCUGGAGUGACCUAAGGCGAAAGGAGUUGGGCUGAAUC